UUAAAACAAAUAUGCAUGGGUUUUGUGCUGUACACCAAUCUGACCAGUUAGAGUAAUAAAUUUAGAAUUUCUCACAUUUUUGGUUCUACUCAUAAUGAUAAUAGUUACUAUAGUAGUAACUGUAGUUACAUAGUUUCAAAAAGAGAUAACCUUUUUUGAAAAUUUAUAUAUUUUACAGCUUGUGUUUAAAGUUCACAUUUUUUGUCACUUCAGAGCAAGCCAGGAAGCAGUGUAGGGGAGCRUUCUGUGCUCAUCUUUAGGAAAGAGUGCAUACAAAGCCUGGUUACCAUCAUAAAGAAACUGCAGGAGAAAAGCCCCUUGAAGUUUCCRGUGGUCAGGGCCGUGGCAUGUUUGAAUCCCACAAACAUGCACAGGGAUCCUGUGUGGUGCCUCACAAAAAUGAAGACCACAGUCCAGAAACUUCUGCAGGAUUGUCAGUUGACAGGAGGCAUCUCAGCUGGUGACUUGAUCAUCCAACAGUUUGAAAGCUUUCUCUCUGUUGAGGCUAGAGACGAGCGUUUCCUCUCCUUUCAACCACUGCAGCAGCGGGUUGAUGUGUUCCUGCACUCAGCACUCAGCAAGUCUCACCCUGAGCUCUCAAGGCUCUGUCAGAUCCUUCUACUACUCUCCCAUGGACAAGCCACUGAGGAUUCUCAGUUAACAAGCAGGUUGAAACCUGCAACAUACAUGAAGAGUCAAUGGAGGCCCUGAGGUUGAUCUGCGACAAGGUCAGUGUCUGUGGGGGUGUUCUGAAGGUGCCACUGACAAAGGAACUACUGGCUUCUGUUGCCUCUGCAAGGUCAAAGUACAGGAUUCACCUGGAACAGCAACGAAAGAAGAACGAAACUUACACUCAGAGCCUUAAGAGGAAAGCAGCUGAAGCUGAGUUGGAAGAGUUGAAAAAAAGAGAAAAGUCCUACAAGAGGUGUGCAAUUCAUUGCAGAAAGAUACAGAUCAGUUAGCAGAGCAAGCAGAGGGAAAGUCAGGCUCUUUAAUGGCCCAACUGAUCACCAAGUCCAACGUCUUGAGAAGGAGACAUAARGAAAAACUCAGUGAGCUGGUGCAAACUGAAGCAUCGCUGGAAUGCAAAACAAAUGCAUUGAGGCACAUGUGAGAAGCAGCAGCAGGAGAACUGUUUGUAUUGUGUUAUUUCUUAUUCACCAUUGUUCAACCAAGUUGUCAGAAUAGAUGUGAGUUACUUGUUUCUUGUUAUGAACUAUAUACAUUUUGAACCUAGUCAUGGUUCUAUUUCUUCUUUUGAACUAUUUUUCUUUCAACUGUAUCUCAGUUCUGUUGUAGGUUUGAUUUAUAGAUUUAAUAAAAAAUAACAACAGCAGUUUUGUAAAUCAAAGAUUUGUUGCUUAAUAAAACUUAUUGUGACGAC